AACCACACUAUCGAUGAAUGGAUUCAUCCGCGAGAUGAUGUGGCUGUUUCACCUAGGACGAGGACAUAGCAUCAUAUUACCAGUCAUCGCACGAAAUUAAUAGGAUGUCACGUCCUCAUCCUAGAUGAAACAACCACGUCAUCUCAUGGGUGAAUCCUUUCAUCGAUAGUGUGGUU
rfam:Oryza meridionalis cultivar OR44 (W2112) chromosome 8, whole genome shotgun sequence.